rnacentral:rRNA from 1 species
UACGUAGGGGGCAAGCGUUAUCCGGAUUUAUUGGGUUUAAAGGGAGCGUAGGUGGAUUGUUAAGUCAGUUGUGAAAGUUUGCGGCUCAACCGUAAAAUUGCAGUUGAAACUGGCAGUCUUGAGUACAGUAGAGGUGGGCGGAAUUCGUGGUGUAGCGGUGAAAUGCUUAGAUAUCACGAAGAACUCCGAUUGCGAAGGCAGCUCACUAGACUGCAACUGACACUGAUGCUCGAAAGUGUGGGUAUCAAACAGG